rnacentral:lncRNA from 1 species
GGGGCGGUGAGGUCAGCGGCGGCGGCGCGUCCGCGGGCGGCGGGAGCUGCGCAUGCGCGGAGCGACGCCCGUGAGUGGCAGUGGCGGCGCGCGGGGAGCGGGCGGGGGCCGUCGAGGCGGCGGUGUGUGGGCGCAACGGCUGCGAGUUGGAGAGGGAACAACACUACAGUCGCCCGUAGUUUUGUUUCUGUUCAGUCUCCAUCGUGGCAUGCCACACUCUCCUGGUUUGGGCCCUGCUCAUUUCUUUACUGCCUUCCUGCCUGCCCUUUUUGUGCAGGUAGGUCAUCCCAUUCAUGCUCAGCCCUCCUCGCUGUCUACACUGUCUUCUUGGGCAAUCGUAUCCAGUCCCAAGCCUUUUAAAAAAACAAUCUAUACCCAUCCUGGUGGAAUUCCUGCCUAUAAAAGGGCACACCUUCAGACCUCCAGGCAUGUCCAGCGAACACUGCUAUGCACACGGAACCAAAUUCAGUUGUGUGGGACCUGCAGCUGCAAUUGA